UACGGAGGGUGCUAGCGUUGUUCGGAAUCACUGGGCGUAAAGCGCGUGUAGGCGGUUUGCUAAGUCUGAUGUGAAAGCCCGGGGCUCACCCCCGGAAGUGCAUUGGAAACUGGCAGACUGGAGUCCCGGAGAGGAGGGUGGAAUUCCUGGUGUAGCGGUGAAAUGCGCAGAUAUCAGGAGGAACACCGGUGGCGAAGGCGGAUCUCUGGGCCUGUUCUGACGCUGAGGCGCGAAAGCUAGGGGAGCGAACAGG
rnacentral:rRNA from 1 species